rnacentral:rRNA from 1 species
GACGAACGCUGGCGGCGUGCCUAAUACAUGCAAGUAGAACGCAGUUGCGAACGGGUGAGUAACGCGUAGGUCACUGCCUGGUAGCGGGGGAUAACUAUUGGAAACGAUAGCUAAUACCGCAUACUACCAGAUGGACCUGCGUUGUAUUAGCUAGUUGGUGAGGUAACGGCUCACCAAGGCAACGAUACAUAGCCGACCUGAGAGGGUGAGCGGCCACACUGGGACUGGGAAACGGCCAAGGAUCCUAAGGGAGGCAGGAGUAGGGAAUCUUCGGAAAUGGGGGGAACCAGGACCGAGCAACGCCGGGGGAGGGAAGAAGGUUGUCGGAUCGUAAAGCUCUGUUGAUAAGGAAGCGGUACUUAACCAGAAAGGGACGGCUAACUACGUGCCAGCAGCCGCGGUAAUAC